AUACGUAGGUGGCAAGCGUUGUCCGGAAUUAUUGGGCGUAAAGCGCGCGCAGGUGGUUCCUUAAGUCUGAUGUGAAAGCCCCCGGCUCAACCGGGGAGGGUCAUUGGAAACUGGGGAACUUGAGUGCAGAAGAGGAUAGUGGAAUUCCAAGUGUAGCGGUGAAAUGCGUAGAGAUUUGGAGGAACACCAGAGGCGAAGGCGACUGUCUGGUCUGUAACUGACACUGAGGCGCGAAAGCGUGGGGAGCAAACAGGAUUAGAUACCCUGGUAGUCCACGCCGUAAACGAUGAGUGCUAAGUGUUGGGGGGUUUCCGCCCCUCAGUGCUGCAGCUAACGCAUUAAGCACUCCGCCUGGGGAGUACGGUCGCAAGACUGAAACUCAAAUGAAUUGACGGGG
rnacentral:rRNA from 1 species